rnacentral:rRNA from 1 species
GUUUAAGCAGCCGCGGUAAUACGGAGGAUGCAAGCGUUAUCCGGAAUUAUUGGGCGUAAAGCGUCCGCAGGUGGUUGGACAAGUCUGCUGUCAAAGCGCGGGGCUUAACUCCGUAAAGGCAGUGGAAACUGUACAACUAGAGUACGGUAGGGGUAGAGGGAAUUCCCAGUGUAGCGGUGAAAUGCGUAGAUAUUGGGAAGAACACCGGUGGCGAAAGCGCUCUACUGGACCGUAACUGACACUCAUGGACGAAAGCUAGGGGAGCGAAAGGGAUUAGAUACCCCUGUAGUCC